CGGGGAUCAAACUUGGGACCUUGCGCUUUCAAGGCAGGCGGCAGCACCACUGAGCUAAAUCCCUGGAGCAUCUGCCUUUAAAUGAUAAGAAAUUUAAUUAUUUUAUCAAAGUAUUUAUCAAAGUAUCCACUUUUUUCACUUUUCCCCCUGAACAGUUACUAUUUUUCUUCUUGCAAUCCAUAAGGAACCUGUAGAGCAAUAAUUAGAAACCAGGAAGGACUGUCAGGACCUGUUCUCAAAUACAAUGAUCUCAUUUGUGGUGAUGAUGACGAGCCUAACACGUAUCAUAGUGAUGACUAUUUUAUGAUAUUUACCCAAAAGGCCAAAUACAGAGGAGUGCAAGAGAUUAGCCACACACUAGAGGCCCAAAGAAUCCAGCCAAGGGUCUGGAUCCCACAGCAAUGUCCCACACAAGUCCAGCUGAAGGACUACAGUCCAAGGCCACAUCCUCAGUGGGUCCACCCGGUGGCCUGGAGCUCACAGCAAUGUCUCAUGCUUGUGUAUAUUGAGGAUGUGCACCUGAAAGGCCCAAAGGUCAGUGGUAAAAGACAGAAAACUUAUGCCAGUGG
rnacentral:lncRNA from 1 species